ACCGGAACAACCCGGAAAGUUGCAGUUUAUGAGAAGCUGUAAAGUUCAAGCCACCGCCACUGCGACGCUGGUAGCUUGCAGACCUUGGAGGAGAGGCAUCUUUCUGCCAAGGUCUUCCUUUGGGAGAUUACGCGAGAGCUGUACUGUUGGAGAAAUGACACACACAGGAGUAAAUGCCCACAAAAAGACUUCACUGCAGCCCUUCUUCACAAUGUCUUCAAAGCUGAAUGGCAAGGCUUGUUUCUUUUCUUUUUU